GCGCUAGACGUUUUUUGGGGGAACGACACAUACAGACAUUGGGAGCAAGUCGCCGAGGCUGGCUCGAGAUCUUGGCUCUAAGAGGUGUGAGUUGUUUAACAGAGACAACAUGGAGGAGUUAAUACUUAGGGACCAGGAAACCCCAAGUGAGCCAAGUCAAGAAACAAUAACAAGAGACAAGCAGUAUAUAUAUUUGAACUCUGACAAACGACACAUACAAACAUUGGGAGCAAGUCGCCGAGGCUGGCUCAAGAUCUUGGCUCCAAGAGGUGUGAGUUGUUUACCAGAUACAACAUGGAGGAAUUAAUACUUAGGGACCAGGAGUGACAGUCUUAGUGACAGUCUGACAAUCUGAGUAGCAGUCUUGAGUAUGUGACAGUCGAAGCGUAGAGACACAGAAUAGAUGUUAGUGACACUGGCGAAGACCAGAAAGCAAGACAAUGAACGACAUGCAGUAAUUGGCAUCAGAUGACAUGGACAGCGGUACUGAACUCUAAUGCAGUCUGCGGUGCUGGGACCAGUGCAUGGAGGAUGGAGUAGCAGUGGUGGUCUGAUUGGCAUGGGUGAUUGAUUUCUGUUUUUGUUGAUUAUGUCUUUAUUGUUUAUUAUGUUAACAGAUACAGUAGUUUUAUUUGUAUAUAAUAUUGA